AGAUAUGCAAAUUGAUAUAAUAUGUUUCAAGCAUCUUACUGAGCAAGAAAAGACUCAUUGUUAUAGUACGUGAAGUCUUGCUUGAGAAUGCUCCAAGCUCCUAGCUGUGAAAGGUAGAAUGGAAAUUGCAACAAAAAAAUCGUAAUUCUAAUAGAACACUAAUAAUGUUAAACAAGCUUUAAUCAAAUUCACAUAAACCUCAAAGGAAUUCCAAAGAAAUAAUAAGAAAUCUUUAAAAAACAUUAAAAUGAUUACAAAUAUAUCUCAAAUAUAUCUCAAUUCAAUCUUAAUUUAAUCCUAGUUGAAAUCUUACUUCAUUCAAACUUUAGGCCAAAAACUAAAUAAAUCUUAUAUCCUAAAUAAACUCAAAUAAAAUCCUAAAUCUUAAAUCAAAUCCUAAUCAAAUCCUAAAUCUUAAACCAAAUUUUAAUCAAAUUCUAAAUUAUAAUCCUAAAUCAAAUCUUAACCAAAUCCUAAUCCUAAUCCUAAAUCCUAAAUCAAACCCUAAUCCUAAAUCAAAUCCUAAUCAAAUCUUAAACCUUAAUCCUAAAUCAAAUCCUAAUCCUAAAUCAAAUCCUAAUUAGAUCUUAAACCUUAAUCCUAAAUCAAACCCUAAUCAAAUCCUAACCAAAUCCUAACCUUAAAUCAAAUCCUAACUAAACCCUAAUCAAACUUUAACCCUAAAUCAAACCCUCAUUCUAAAUCAAAUCCUAACCAAAUACUAAACCCUAAACCAAACUCCAAUCCUAAAUCAAAACCUAACCAAAUCCUAAAUCUUGAAUCAAACCCUAAUCAAAUCCUAAAUCAUAAACCAAAUCCUAACCCUAAAUCAAAUCCUAACCCUAAAUC
rnacentral:lncRNA from 1 species